UACAGAGGGCGCAAACGUUGCUCGGAAUUAUUGGGCGUAAAGCGCGCGCAGGCGGUUCCUUAAGUCUGAUGUGAAAGCCCACGGCUUAACCGUGGAGGGUCAUUGGAAACUGGGGAACUUGAGUACAGAAGAGGAGAGUGGAAUUCCACGUGUAGCGGUGAAAUGCGUAGAUAUGUGGAGGAACACCAGUGGCGAAGGCGACUCUCUGGUCUGUAACUGACGCUGAGGCACGAAAGCGUGGGGAGCGAACAGG
rnacentral:misc_RNA from 1 species